AUAACAUCACCUCUUUCACGUGUUCUCUCUUCCCAACAUCAUCUCUCUCAUCCUCUUCUUUCUUCUCUCUUCUCUCUCUUUCUCUUCUUUCUUCUCUCUUCUCUCUCUUUCUCUUCUUUCUUCUCUCUUCUCUCUCUACCUCUUCUUCUUUCUUAUCUCUUUUCUGCUUCAGAGUUGGACAGAGGAAACAAAGGACAUGUGACUAAUUUGUUGAAAAAGUACGGUAUUGUUAGAGAAACUCAUUUGUGAUCUAAAGUGUAAGAUGAGAGUGGCGUGAUGGUUCUGCUGAACAAGAGAGAAGGAGGCGAACAUAUUACUGGGAAUUAUACAAAGAGUAUGCACAAAAUCAGCGCAAGAGGCAACUGACUCAGAAGGUUCAGCAUGCAACAUCAGAACAUGGUAUGGCAAGACAUCAGAAGAUGGUCAAGCAGAAUCAGAACAUGGGUCUAUGGAAGCAUCAUAAGAACUUGAGAUCAGAAGCAGAAGCACUGAAGUUCUCAUGGUAUCACGCUCAGAAGAACUUCAAGGUCAGAAGACAAGAAGAUGCUCUGCACCAAGCUGUUUGACUCUGAUGACAUUCAAACGUUGUUUACACAAACAUCAGAUCAGAAGCAAGUACUAGACUGGCAGGCUACGCUGACUGACAAAAGGAACGUUAGAAGCUAUUAAAGGCAACGUCAGUAGACACAGCGGAAACAAGGCUCGAGGUAGUUGACAAAAGAGUGAAACAUUAAAUGCAAUGCUGUACGGAAUACGCAAAGCAUUAAAUGCUCCCAACGGUCAUCUUCUCAAACGCCUAUAAAUAUGAAGUUCUGAUGAGAAGCAAAGGUUAACGCACAACUGACGAAUUCAUACAAUACUUGCACAUUAGACUGAAACACUGUCAAAUUCAAAAGCUCUCAAACUUUAUCAUCAAGCUCACUACAUUGCUGUUGUAAUAUCUUAGUGAGACUUAAGCUUAAACUUUAAGAGAAAUAUCACAGUUGUGAUUAUAGCUUUUCAGAAGCAUUGUAAUACUCUUAGAAUUUGUUUACAUUAUGUUGUAAGAACUAGAGUGAUCAGGUAGUUCAGAAUACUCUAGAAAAGUCUUAGAGGUUGUCUAAGCAGUUUGUUCCUAGAGUGAUCAGGUUGUGAUCAGGAUACUCUAGAAGACUUAGCAGUUGGCUAAGUGGAAAACCAUUGUAAUCAAGUGUGAUUAGUGGAUUAAAUCCUCAGGUGAGGUAAAUCACUCCAAGGGGGUGGA